CAACCCUGUGAACAUACCUAAACGUUGCUUCGGCGGGAAUAGACGGCCCCGUGAAACGGGCCGCCCCCGCCAGAGGACCCUUAACUCUGUUUCUAUAAUGUUUCUUCUGAGUAAAACAAGCAAAUAAAUUAAAACUUUCAACAACGGAUCUCUUGGCUCUGGCAUCGAUGAAGAACGCAGCGAAAUGCGAUAAGUAAUGUGAAUUGCAGAAUUCAGUGAAUCAUCGAAUCUUUGAACGCACAUUGCGCCCGCCAGUAUUCUGGCGGGCAUGCCUGUUCGAGCGUCAUUACAACCCUCAGGCCCCCGGGCCUGGCGUUGGGGAUCGGCGGAGCCUCUCUGUGGGCACACGCCGUCCCCCAAAUACAGUGGCGGUCCCGCCGCAGCUUCCAUCGCGUAGUAGCUAACACCUCGCGACUGGAGAGCGGCGCGGCCACGCCGUAAAACACCC
rnacentral:rRNA from 1 species